rnacentral:misc_RNA from 1 species
GCAGCAAAAGAAACCCACAAUAUUGAAACCACUCCUCAGCUUUCACAGUUCAGGCGCUUAUUUAGCUUGAAGAAUUUACCAGAUUGAUACCUCAAAAUCCUAACCUCUCAGUUAUCAAACUAUUUUUCCAUAGCAGAAAGUUUCAGAAAAAUACAUGCUCAAACUGUCAAAUGGAUCAGGAAACUAAAACAAGUAGAAAAUACACUAUGAACAAGAAAUAUUGUGGACAGAAACAAAUCACGAAAAUUGAAAUAAAACUAAGUGAUUCAUUAUACCCUAAUAUACAUUUGUUGUUUAUAAUGAUCUUACAGGAUAACACGACUCCAAGUGAUACAGCAAAACAUGUUAAAAGAGUGCAUUGCUU